rnacentral:rRNA from 1 species
AGCGAACGCUGGCGGCAGGCCUAACACAUGCCAGUCGAACGAACCUUUCGGGGUUAGUGGCGGACGGGUGAGUAACACGUGGGAACGUGCCUUUAGGUUCGGAAUAACUCAGGGAAACUUGUGCUAAUACCGAAUGUGCCCUUCGGGGGAAAGAUUUAUCGCCUUUAGAGCGGCCCGCGUCUGAUUAGCUAGUUGGUUGAGUAAUGGCUCACCAAGGCGACGAUCAGUAGCUGGUCUGAGAGGAUGAUCAGCCACAUUGGGACUGAGACACGGCCCAAACUCCUACGGGAGGCAGCAGUGGGGAAUCUUGCGCAAUGGGCGAAAGCCUGACGCAGCCAUGCCGCGUGAAUGAUGAAGGUCUUAGGAUUGUAAAAUUCUUUCACCGGGGACGAUAAUGACGGUACCCGGAGAAGAAGCCCCGGCUAACUUCGUG